rnacentral:misc_RNA from 1 species
UACGGAGGGGGCUAGCGUUGUUCGGAAUCACUGGGCGUAAAGCGCGCGUAGGCGGUCUUGUAAGUUAGGGGUGAAAGCCCGGAGCUCAACUCCGGAACUGCCCUUAAGACUGCAAGACUAGAAUCCGGGAGAGGUGAGUGGAAUUCCGAGUGUAGAGGUGAAAUUCGUAGAUAUUCGGAAGAACACCAGAGGCGAAGGCGGCACUCUGGCCCGAUACUGACGCUGAGGUGCGAAAGCGUGGGGAGCAAACAGG